UUAGUUUCUGCUAAGGCAAAUAUUUUUCAUUGGAACACUUCUGGCUAACUUUUGGUGUGAACAUGAAGUGCUCUGACGGCAAUUCUAUGGUUACCUCAUCCAUUAAAAAGCACAGGGGCUGUGAAAGGGAUGGAAGGGGUAUAAAAGCACAGCUCUGGCCUCUCUACGGUGAUGCUGAAUGUGGGCUGCCCUGUCUGCACCUCUGGCCACCCCAAAAGCUUGCCGUGGUGAAAGCCUUGGGGCCUCUUGCAAGCAGCAUGGCUCUGGGUCUGAACAGCCAGGUCUCGCUCCCUGUGGGCAUGCCAGCUGUAUUAUGACUUUCAGCUCUAUUUUAAUCCGAUUGAUGGAGUGGCCGGAGAUGCUGAUGGGAUUAGAGCUCAGCAUGAUGACGAAGCAGUCGGGAUUUGCCCUUGCACUGAUCCUCGCAGUACACCAGUGGGGAAUAGCUACUCCUGAUUUACGAGCUGUAUGAGCCCUGCUUUGACAUGGAGCAUUUCCUCCAGGACAUGGGUCCAACCCAAACACAUCUCACAGUCUGCAGGCUGAGCACGGUCUGACUUUCUUUUGAUUGCGCCCAGUGUGUUUGUGUGUGGUCUCAGGCACUGUGACAUCACUAUGUUGGACCCAAAGGCACUACGGGCAUUUGGUGGGCGUUUGACCAUGCUUCCUAUGAGAAGACCACACUCUGAACAUAUAGUUCCUCUACACUGAUCAAAAAACCACCAACAUAAUUGUUCUUGGGAUUGGUGGGCUCAGAGGGGAUUACGGGUUUGAGUGCUGCUGAGCAGAGGGGGAGUGCAGACGGGGGAUCUCACAGCCUCGGGUGCUGCUUGCAGGAAGCGGAUGAAGGUGCUCACAAGCUAAGUGGAUUAAGCCUGAGUAAUGUCAGUUCAAAAAUAGGAGCUGCAGCCUGACAUAAAGGUCUGGGGAAGUGAGGUUAUUUGUUGAUGAACCGUGCCAGGCACCAGGAGGAUGUGAGGGAGGGUCUGGACUCGCCAACGUUUCCUAUGUGGGGUGUGGACACAGUCUGGGAGUGCCCAGGGGAUGCUUCUCUUCAGGAUGCAGUUCUUCCAGGCUAUGAGGUUUCCACGUACUCCUGUGAGAUGCAGCUGGCAGAGCAAAACCAAGCAGGCUUCUCCAGCAGAGGCUGGGUGCUCCCCGUCUGUUCCUCGCUCUGCCCUCAUUUAAACCCCACCAAACAUCUGCGUCGGUUGGGAAUUGGUCAGUGUAUAUGCCUGUCCAUAUGGGGCACCAAGCCCUCCUGCAGAGCAAGGAGGAUUUAAAAAUAAGAUUUAGAAGUAUUAUUAUUUUUUUUAAAAGGCAUUAAUAACUAAUAAUAUAAAUAAAGUCUCUAAUAGAAUAAGAGAAAAAGAGGGUGUAAAAUUCUAAGUUAAAUAAUAAGACUUAGGAAGCCUUUCUUAUGCCUCCACAGACAUUUCCUCAUUACUUGAUGCAGAGACUGAUGCUCUCCAGCACAGGGGCUGGUUUUACCCUGUGUUCUGUGUGUUGGAAUAGCAUCCCCAUGGCUUAGCUAAUCACAACAAUACCCAAGCCAAUGGCAGGUCCUACUCCUCCAUUAGAUCUGACACUUUCAGACUGCUCCUCUUCCCCUUUGCCUCUAUUGUUUUCUUCAUAUACAUCAUUGUUAAACCUUUCUUGAACAUGCAGUUGUCCUUGUAAUCUGAAUUGUAUGUUGAUUUCAUGUUUGUUGACAUGUUUGCUGAGCAGUUGAAUGAGCUUUUGGACAAAUAUUAAAUAAAUGGUCACUUUUUAAC